CACAUCUUUAGGUAAGUAUAGGCAUAGCAAUUAUAACAUUUUGUUUUCAGGUUAAGAGGUAAGAUAGCUUCAUUGUACUAACAUUGUCUGUUAAAUAUUUACUUAUUUAUAUCAAUUCAUAGUGUACAGUAUGUAGUGCAUGACAGGAUGCAUAGUUUGUGUUGAAUUGUAAACACGUUACAAAGUACACACCGUAUUAUACACACCCUAUUACCAGAUAUCGCUACUGCCGAUUCAACACAAAUUAAUGUCUUUUACAUGCGAUUUUAAAAUUCCUUGUAUUACAAUUUGAAAUGGAGAACAAAAUCUACUGUUCACCAUUAAAUUAUGUUGAAAAACAAUUGGGACAAAAGUCAUAUAAUUUCAGCCAAAAUGAUAACUGGUAAUAUGAGUGAGCUACUGAGUUGUUAUGUUUUAAUAGAAAUAACAAUUUUGCAGAAAACAUGCUUCGCCUAUAACAUAUGCAUUAGAAAGCCUUUUAUUCUAUAUUUCAUCUAUAUUUCAUUCAAUUCUUUUUCCAAAAUAGAAAAAAAGUCUUUUUAUUUCAGGACUGGGGUCUGAUUAGUUUCCAUCAUAAAUGACUGGUUUCUACAUAUACUUGAAUUGCACGACAACAGAAGUGGACCAAUAAAGGCAUGGAUGGGUAUUCUACUCCAUUUCAAAAUUGCUGAAAAUGCUUGAAGAAAGCAUGACAGCAUUACAAAUGCAGUGGGUGCAAUUGCAAGACUGUUGGUUAACAACAAUAGAUCCAAUAACUCAAACAAUUACCUUGAAG
rnacentral:lncRNA from 1 species